rnacentral:rRNA from 1 species
GAUGAACGCUGGCGGCGUGCCUAAUACAUGCAAGUCGAGCGAACAGACGGGGAGCUUGCUCCUCUGACGUUAGCGGCGGACGGGUGAGUAACACGUGGAUAACCUACCUAUAAGACUGGGAUAACUUCGGGAAACCGGAGCUAAUACCGGAUAAUAUAUUGAACCGCAUGGUUCAAUAGUGAAAGACGGUUUUGCUGUCACUUAUAGAUGGAUCCGCGCCGCAUUAGCUAGUUGGUAAGGUAACGGCUUACCAAGGCAACGAUGCGUAGCCGACCUGAGAGGGUGAUCGGCCACACUGGAACUGAGACACGGUCCAGACUCCUACGGGAGGCAGCAGUAGGGAAUCUUCCGCAAUGGGCGAAAGCUUGACGGAGCAACGCCGCGUGAGUGAUGAAGGUCUUCGGAUCGUAAAACUCUGUUAUUAGGGAAGAACAAAUGUGUAAGUAACUGUGCACGUCUUGACGGUACCUAAUCAGAAAGCCACGGCUAACUACGUG